AACGAACGCUGGCGGCAGGCUUAACACAUGCAAGUCGAGCGCCCUGCAAGGGGAGCGGCAGACGGGUGAGUAACGCGUGGGAAUCUACCGAGCCCUGCGGAAUAGCUCCGGGAAACUGGAAUUAAUACCGCAUACGCCCUACGGGGGAAAGAUUUAUCGGGGUUUGAUGAGCCCGCGUUGGAUUAGCUAGUUGGUGGGGUAAAGGCCUACCAAGGCGACGAUCCAUAGCUGGUCUGAGAGGAUGAUCAGCCACAUUGGGACUGAGACACGGCCCAAACUCCUACGGGAGGCAGCAGUGGGGAAUAUUGGACAAUGGGCGCAAGCCUGGUCCAGCCAUGCCGCGUGAGUGAUGAAGGCCCUAGGGUUGUAAAGCUCUUUCAACGGUGAAGAUAAUGACGGUAACCGUAGAAGAAGCCCCGGCUAACUUCGUGCCAGCCGCCGCCGUAA
rnacentral:rRNA from 1 species